CCCAUUGAUCCCAAUGUCCCCAUUGACCCCAUUGACCCCAAUGUCCCCAUUGACCCCAAUGUCCCCAUUGACCCCAAUGCCCCCAUUGACCCCAAUGUCACCACUGACCCCAAUGACCCCAUUGAUCCCAAUGUCCCCAUUGACCCCAAUGUCCCCAUUGACCCCAAUGUCCCCAUUGAUCCCAAUGUCCCCAUCAUCCCCCAUUGACCCCAAUGACCCCAUUGAUCCCAAUGUCCCCAUGACCCCCCACUGACCCCAAUGUCCCCAUUGACCCCAGUGUACCCAUUGACCCCAAUGUCCCCAUGACCCUCCAACUGACCCCAAUGACCCCAUUGAUCCCAAUGUCCCCAUCAACCCCAUUGACCCCAAUGUCCCAUUGACCCCAAUGUCCCCAUUGAUCCCAAUGACCGCUCACUGACCCCAAUGUCCCCGCUGACCCCAAUGUCCCCAUCACCCCCCACUGACCCCAAUGUCCCCAUUGACCCCAAAGUACCCAUCACCCCCCAUUGACCCCAAUGUCCCCAUUGACCCCAAAGUCCCCCUUAUCCCCCAUUGACCCCAAUGUCCCCAUUGACCUCAAUGACCCCAUUGACCCCAAUGACUCCAUUGACCCCAAUAACCCCUCAUUGACCCCAAUGACCCCAUCACCCCCCACUGACCCCAAUGUCCCCAUUGACCCCAAUGACCCCAUUUUUGGGGUCCCUGGAGGUCAUUUUGGGGGGUCCACAGUGACAUUUUGGGGUCAAUAAGUGGGAUGUGGGGAAAAUAAAGGGGAUUUGGGAUCGCACUUUGGGGGCCAUUUGGGGGCAAAUUCAGUAGGAUUUAGGGCAAAAAAGGGGGAAUUUGGGGUAAAAAAGGGGGAUUUGGGGCAAAAAGGGGGGAUUUGGGGCAGAUUAUGAAAAGGGGGGAUUUGGGACCGCACUUUGGGGCCAUUUUGGGGCAAAUUAAGUGGGAUUUAGGGGAAAAAAGGGGGAUUUGGGGCAAAAAGAGGGGUUUUGGGGGUAAAAAAGGAAAAGGGGGGAUUUGGGACUGCACUUUGGGGCCAUUUGGGGCAAAUUAAGUGGGAUUUAGGGGAAAAAAUGGGGAUUUGGGGUAAAAAAAAG
rnacentral:lncRNA from 1 species